rnacentral:rRNA from 1 species
UACGAAGGGGGCUAGCGUUGUUCGGAUUUACUGGGCAUAAAGCGCACGUAGGCGGAUCGUUAAGUCAGGGGUGAAAUCCUGGAGCUCAACUCCAGAACUGCCUUUGAUACUGGCGAUCUUGAGUCCGGAAGAGGUGAGUGGAACUCCUAGUGUAGAGGUGGAAUUCGUAGAUAUUAGGAAGAACACCAGUGGCGAAGGCGGCUCACUGGUCCGGUACUGACGCUGAGGUGCGAAAGCUAGGGUAGCAAACGGG